rnacentral:rRNA from 1 species
CCAGCAGCCGCGGUAAUUCCAGCUCUAAUAGCGUAUACUAAAGUUGUUGCAGUUAAAAAGCUCGUAGUUGGAUUUCGGAACUGAACAGUUUACCAGUCGGCCGUCAAGGUCUGUAUUGGUCUGUUCGUUCUCACCUAUGGGAUGCUCACCGCUACUCUUAACUGGGCGGCGGCUUCAAAAGCAUGUGUAGGGCAAAACGGUAUACGUCUCGCGCGUGUACUGCCUACAUGUGUGGAGUUCCCAUUCGUUUACUUUGAAUAAAUUAGGGUGUUCAAAGCAGCCAAAAAAGGAGGCAUGGAUACUACAGCAUGGGAUAACGGAAUACGAUUUCGGUUCGAUGUUUCGUUGGU